rnacentral:rRNA from 1 species
UACGGGGGGUGCAAGCGUUAUUCGGAAUCAUUGGGCGUAAAGGGCGCGUAGGCGGUAUCUUAAGUCAGAUGUGAAAGCCCGGGGCUUAACCCCGGAAGUGCAUUUGAAACUGGGAUACUUGAGUAUGGGAGAGGGAAGUGGAAUUCCUGGUGUAGAGGUGAAAUUCGUAGAUAUCAGGAGGAACACCGGUGGCGAAGGCGACUUCCUGGACCAAUACUGACGCUGAGGCGCGAAGGCGUGGGGAGCAAACAGG